rnacentral:tRNA from 1 species
GGAAGUAUAGCUCAAUGGUAGAGUGUUUGCCUGGCAAGCCUGAGACCCUGAGUUCAAUCUCUAGUACAGCCA